rnacentral:rRNA from 1 species
UACAGAGGGUGCAAGCGUAGUUCGGAAUUACUGGGCGUAAAGCGCGUGUAGGCGGUUUGGUAAGUCCUGUGUGAAAGCCCUGGGCUCAACCCAGGAAGUGCGCAGGAUACUGCCUGACUGGAGUGACGGAGAGGAUGGCGGAAUUCCCGGUGUAGAGGUGAAAUUCGUAGAUAUCGGGAGGAACACCUGUGGCGAAGGCGGCCAUCUGGACGUCAACUGACGCUGAGACGCGAAAGCAUGGGGAGCAAACAGG